rnacentral:rRNA from 1 species
GAGUUUGAUCAUGGCUCAGAUUGAACGCUGGCGGCAUGCCUUACACAUGCAAGUCGAACGGCAGCACGGGUGCUUGCACCUGGUGGCGAGUGGCGAACGGGUGAGUAAUACAUCGGAACAUGUCCUGUAGUGGGGGAUAGCCCGGCGAAAGCCGGAUUAAUACCGCAUACGAUCUACGGAUGAAAGCGGGGGACCUUCGGGCCUCGCGCUAUAGGGUUGGCCGAUGGCUGAUUAGCUAGUUGGUGGGGUAAAGGCCUACCAAGGCGACGAUCAGUAGCUGGUCUGAGAGGACGACCAGCCACACUGGGACUGAGACACGGCCCAGACUCCUACGGGAGGCAGCAGUGGGGAAUUUUGGACAAUGGGCGAAAGCCUGAUCCAGCAAUGCCGCGUGUGUGAAGAAGGCCUUCGGGUUGUAAAGCACUUUUGUCCGGAAAGAAAUCCUUGGCUCUAAUACAGUCGGGGGAUGACGGUACCGGAAGAAUAAGCACCGGCUAACUACGUGCCAGCAGCCGCGGUAAUACGUAGGGUGCGAGCGUUAAUCGGAAUUACUGGGCGUAAAGCGUGCGCAGGCGGUUUGCUAAGACCGAUGUGAAAUCCCCGGGCUCAACCUGGGAACUGCAUUGGUGACUGGCAGGCUAGAGUAUGGCAGAGGGGGGUAGAAUUCCACGUGUAGCAGUGAAAUGCGUAGAGAUGUGGAGGAAUACCGAUGGCGAAGGCAGCCCCCUGGGCCAAUACUGACGCUCAUGCACGAAAGCGUGGGGAGCAAACAGGAUUAGAUACCCUGGUAGUCCACGCCCUAAACGAUGUCAACUAGUUGUUGGGGAUUCAUUUCCUUAGUAACGUAGCUAACGCGUGAAGUUGACCGCCUGGGGAGUACGGUCGCAAGAUUAAAACUCAAAGGAAUUGACGGGGACCCGCACAAGCGGUGGAUGAUGUGGAUUAAUUCGAUGCAACGCGAAAAACCUUACCUACCCUUGACAUGGUCGGAAUCCCGCUGAGAGGUGGGAGUGCUCGAAAGAGAACCGGCGCACAGGUGCUGCAUGGCUGUCGUCAGCUCGUGUCGUGAGAUGCUGGGUUAAGUCCCGCAACGAGCGCAACCCUUGUCCUUAGUUGCUACGCAAGAGCACUCUAAGGAGACUGCCGGUGACAAACCGGAGGAAGGUGGGGAUGACGUCAAGUCCUCAUGGCCCUUAUGGGUAGGGCUUCACACGUCAUACAAUGGUCGGAACAGAGGGUUGCCAACCCGCGAGGGGGAGCUAAUCCCAGAAAACCGAUCGUAGUCCGGAUUGCACUCUGCAACUCGAGUGCAUGAAGCUGGAAUCGCUAGUAAUCGCGGAUCAGCAUGCCGCGGUGAAUACGU